rnacentral:rRNA from 1 species
UGGGGAAUAUUGCACAAUGGGCGCAAGCCUGAUGCAGCCAUGCCGCGUGUAUGAAGAAGGCCUUCGGGUUGUAAAGUACUUUCAGCGAGGAGGAAGGCGUUGUGGUUAAUAACCGCAACGAUUGACGUUACUCGCAGAAGAAGCACCGGCUAACUCCGUG